GAACCAUUUACCCUUCAUGUGCCUCUUUUUCCGUGUAUGUGCCUCUUUUUCCUUCUAUGUAAAAUAAGUGAAAGAAAGAGGAGAGCUAGAUGAUACCACUGUAACUCUUGUAUUUCAAGACACUCAUUUCUGCCUUGUCGCAGAUUACAGUCAUUUAGAGAUACAGAAAUAGGUAUUACAGUCAGAAUCCACAUUUUAGAGUAUAUCUGCUGACCCCAUGUCUGUGGAAGAUACUGAGAUGCAGAUACUGAGAAUGGGCCUCAAAAUUUUUCUCAAGACUGUACUCCAGGAAGCUAUGCUGAACCAAAUGAAAUUGGCCCUACUUGUCAUCCUAGCAUAGCAGGUUUCGGUUUAUGAAAGACAGAGAAUAUGCAACUCUCUCAGCCACCUAAAUAUGAAGUGGCUUUCCACAGAUCUCUUUUCGAAGGUCACAAUGAUUUGUAUGACAGAUGCUAGCCCAAGAGAGAGUUCCAGAAGAGGGCUACCUAACAGGUGCUGUGGCAUUUAGA
rnacentral:antisense_RNA from 1 species